rnacentral:rRNA from 1 species
UGUUUCGGCAAGGGGGUCAUCCCGACUUACCAACCCGAUGCAAACUGCGAAUACCGGAGAAUGUUAUCACGGGAGACACACGGCGGGUGCUAACGUCCGUCGUGAAGAGGGAAACAACCCAGACCGCCAGCUAAGGUCCCAAAGUCAUGGUUAAGUGGGAAACGAUGUGGGAAGGCCCAGACAGCCAGGAUGUUGGCUUAGAAGCAGCCAUCAUUUAAAGAAAGCGUAAUAGCUCACUGGUCGAGUCGGCCUGCGCGGAAGAUGUAACGGGGCUAAACCAUGCACCGAAGCUGCGGCAGCGACACUGUGUGUUGUUGGGUAGGGGAGCGUUCUGUAAGCCUGUGAAGGUGUACUGUGAGGUAUGCUGGAGGUAUCAGAAGUGCGAAUGCUGACAUAAGUAACGAUAAAGCGGGUGAAAAGCCCGCUCGCCGGAAGACCAAGGGUUCCUGUCCAACGUUAAUCGGGGCAGGGUGAGUCGACCCCUAAGGCGAGGCCGAAAGGCGUAGUCGAUGGGAAACAGGUUAAUAUUCCUGUACUUGGUGUUACUGCGAAGGGGGGACGGAGAAGGCUAUGUUGGCCGGGCGACGGUUGUCCCGGUUUAAGCGUGUAGGCUGGUUUUCCAGGCAAAUCCGGAAAAUCAAGGCUGAGGCGUGAUGACGAGGCACUACGGUGCUGAAGCAACAAAUGCCCUGCUUCCAGGAAAAGCCUCUAAGCAUCAGGUAACAUCAAAUCGUACCCCAAACCGACACAGGUGGUCAGGUAGAGAAUACCAAGGCGCUUGAGAGAACUCGGGUGAAGGAACUAGGCAAAAUGGUGCCGUAACUUCGGGAGAA